GGAAAACUCAGGAUUUUAGGAAAAAUCAAAAUUUUAGGAAAAGGUUGGAUUUUAGGAGAAGGCUGGAUUUUAGGAAAUGGUUGGAUUUCAGGAAAAGCCUCUUCCCCCAGAGGGUGCUGGGGCAUUCCCCAGGGAACAGCCACAGCUCCAAACCUCCAGGAGCCUCUGCACAACUCUCAGGGACAGGGUGGAAUUUCGGGAUGGAAUU